UACGAAGGGGGCUAGCGUUGCUCGGAAUCACUGGGCGUAAAGCGCACGUAGGCGGCUUUCUAAGUCAGGGGUGAAAGCCCGAGGCUCAACCUCGGAACUGCCUUUGAUACUGGCGAUCUUGAGUCCGGGAGAGGUGAGUGGAACUCCGAGUGUAGAGGUGAAAUUCGUAGAUAUUCGGAAGAACACCAGUGGCGAAGGCGGCUCACUGGCCCGGUACUGACGCUGAGAUGCGAAAGCGUGGGGAGCAAACAGG
rnacentral:rRNA from 1 species